AGACUUGGUUUUAUUAAGUAGUCCUGUGCUGUGUGUGUUGAGUAGGUAACUCGUUUCAAAUGCGGAGGCGUUUGUCUUGCGACUAGAUUUCAUCAUAUUUUAGCAGAUGGAGCUUCAACGUACCAUUUCGUCAACUCAUGGGCUGAGAUGACACGUGGUGUUCCUAUUAGCAUUCCACCUUUCUUUGAUCGAACCGUACUAGAUUUUGGGAUUCCAAAUUCCCCUAGAUUCCAUCACAUUGAAUACGACCCACCUCCUUUAAUGAAUACUCCUAUUCAAAAUUCCGAAUCCAUUUGUACUGCAAUCCUUAAUCUAUCACUUGAGCAAAUCAACAUCCUCAGGGAAAAAUCUAAAGAAAAUCGUGGAUCCACAUUCCAGUACACUAGACUUGAGGUCCUGGCAGCGCAUAUUUGGCGUUGCGUAUGUAAAGCACGUGAAUUGUCUGAUGAUCAAGCCAGCAAGUUACACUUCCCUGCAAAUGGACGUUCUAAAUUGAAUCCUCCACUCCCAUCCGGGUAUUUCGGAAAUGUAGUUUUCACCACUGCAUUGAUCGCCUUAUCAGGUAAUAUCCUAUCGGAACCACUGAAUUAUACAGUAGAGAGAAUCCAUAAAGCAUUAGAGCGGAUGAAUGACGAGUAUUUGAAAUCAGCUCUUGCUUAUCUAAGGCAACAACCUGAUCGGACAGUUUUAAGAAGAGGAGCUCACACAUAUAAGUGCCCUAAUUUUAAUAUAGUAUAUUUAGCAAACAUGCCUAUUUAUGAUGCAAAUUUCGGGUGGGGGCCGCCAAUGUUUUCAAGGUUGGUUAAUACAUAUUUCGAAGGGGUAGCGCAUAUUUAUCCAAGUCCAAGCAAUGAUGGGAGCUUGACAGUGUUUAUAAACUUGGAAACCCAUCACAUGCAGCCCUUCAAGAAGUUGUUUUAUGAGAUCUUUCAGCACCCUAAGAAUGCAAGAUCUAGAUAUUGAUAUUUCAGUGAUCAAUCAAUAUGAUAAACCAAGUUUGAGAGAAAAUGAUCAAGGGAUCCCUGGUUAGAGUGAUUGAACUAGCUGUUGAUGGCUGUAGAUAUUGUGUGACUUCGGCUCAUUAUGGUUUUGACCUUCCACUUAUGUCAUCCUUGAUAAAAAAAAUUUCUUUUUUAAUUUCAUAUUUUGUUAGCUCUUUAAUUAGUAAUAAAUUAUUAGUGAUGUACACAGAAUGAGAUUGUUUUCUUCUUUAAUAUAAUAGCUCACUACGCGAUACCAUUACCAAAAGUUCCUAUAACAACUCGAUCUUCCAGCUACCAAACCCUCAUGAACUUUAGAGUAUGUUGGGAAUAGUCAACUAGCCAAACAAAAACGCUAAAGUCCCUUGCAUUAUAAUUCAGAUGUUAUUAAGAGUUUUUUUUUUUUAAUUUUCAUGACAUCUUUGAUAUAUUUUAGAAUUUCUCCCAUAUGAAAUUUUAAUUUUUUUUAAAAACAAUUAUUAGAUUCGUUGAAUAGGCAUUGUGUUUAACACUUAUUUAAAAAAAAAAUCCUAACAUUAUCCUCGGUAAUGAAAAUGUGACACAUUUACAAACCCAACAACUUUGGAAAAUCAAAAUGAAGUAACGAGUAGAUAGAUAAACAAUAUCAAAGCCGAAGGACCAAAGAAGGAACCUAGCCACUUUACAAAAUGAAAAAAUGAAACUACGUGGAGUCGUAUCAUUAAGCCAAAUAUGCGACAUCAUGUAAUGAUAUUUUAGCCCCUUACAUAGUUACACAAUGGGGCGAGGUACACCAUAAACUUUCUCUAUUAGAAACACCAUAAACUUACAAACAGAAAAAAAAAGAAAAAAAGUUGAUGGUGGAAGAGAGUUCACAAUAAAAGAGAAAUAGAGAGGUAAGCAAAUGAGAGAGAGAAAGAGAUAUGAACUUAUGAAGAGAAAGAGAAUAUAGGUGCAAAGAUUUUAGGGAUUUAUUGAAUAAGAAAUUCGGAUCAUUUUUAGAAUUAAAAUAGGGGCAUAAGAACAUUUUAAUUUUUAAAUAAUUUUAAUGGGCAGAAAGAAGAAAAUGAAUUUCAAGAGAUAUUUGGAGGGCGUCAAUAGUCCAAUUAACGUUAUUAAAUAAAUUGGCCCACUUUCAUUAUUUCAUCACCAGUAUUUAAAAACAAAUUUUACAGCAAAAAUUAUUGUUCUUAAUUAGAAAUGAUCAAUGGGCCAAGCGACAUAUGGCACGACACAGCACGGGCACAGUACGUGUCAGUACAGUAUGGCACGACAUAAACUCAUUUUGAUAGGGCAUGUAACACAACAUGUCACACAUGCAUGCUAGGCUGAGUUACAAACUCUAAACACUAUGCACGUGGGACUAUUUUUAGAAUUAAAAUAGGGGUAUAAGAACAUUUUAAUUUUUAAAUAAUUUUAAUGGGGCAGAAAGAAGAAAAGGAAUUUAAAGAGUUAUUUGGAGGAUGUCAAUAGUCCAACUCAUGUGAUUAAAUAAACUGGCCCACUUUCAUUAUUUUGUCACCAAUAUUUGAAAAAAAAAAUUUACAGCAAAAUUUAUUGUUCUUAAUUAGAGAUGGCAAAUGGGCCAGGCAACAUGCGGUAUGGCACGGACAUGGUGCAUGUCAAUACAACACGGCAAGACAUAAGCAUAUUUUGGUAAGGUAUGCAGCACAACAUGACACAUAUGCAUGCUGGGCCGAGUUAAAAAUUUUAGGCACGUGAGCCUUAAAAGUACGGGAUGAUUAAAGACAACAAUUGAUAAUAUAUAUGACAAUCUCCUGAUAAAUUUGGUGUGAGUUAAGAAAGAAAUUGAUCAUCACUAGUUACAUGAGGAAAAACCAAAGAAAAAAUAAAAAAGACAAUACUUCUUUGAGCAAAAGUCAUAAACAACUUUAUCAUUGAGGAUGCAAGACCCUUAUUUUUAACUUAAUGAAUUAAUUGACUAAUUUUAAUCAGUUAAGUAUUAGGUUUAUUUAUUUUUUCAACUUAAUGAAAAUUUUCAGUCAUUAAGUUAUUAAGCUAAUUUUUUUUAGCUUUUUACUUAAUCUAAAAAGUCUGAAUAACAUCGUUAAAAGAUAUUCUCUAAAAUAUCCUUAUCUAAUUAAUUAAUUUUUAAUCCUUACGUGAAUUAAAUUUAAAAUUAGCAAUAUUAGCCAUCUCUAUAUAACUUGUGAUAAUAUAUAGUGGUAGAUUAUAAUUAUUUUUAUCUUUUUAUUUUCUUCACAUUAGCAUUAUUUAUCUUCAUAAUUUUCUAUGAAUAUUUUUCAUUUAAAAACAUCAUAAACUAUAAUAAAAUUGCUUAACAUAUAUAACAUAGAAUAUUAAAGAGUUGUAUUCAAUUGAAUAUGAUUUAUGUUAUUAUAUUUUUUGAAAUGUUUAUUAUUUGUAUGGGCACAAAUGUAAAAAAUAUUAGUUUUUAGAUUUUUUAAGAUUAAAAAAAUUAAUAUUUAUUUUCUGCGAUUCAGACAAAAAAACAAACAUAUCAUUUAGCUUCAGACAUUCAGUUCUACUCAGAAUUUAAACUAAUUUAGAUUUAUUCAGAUUUCAGACAAAAAAAAAGCUACCUACGUCUGUAGCAAAAACAUAAGAUUCCGUAGUUCAUCCUAUUACAAAUAUUUAAGCCCAAAAUACUUUACAUAGCACUACAAGUCUAAAUUUCCAAAAAAAAAAAAAACACACACACACACACACACAUUUCCAAUGUUCCAAAUGGUGUGCUUACUUGACAAAACACAAUUUCAAUUUCCAAAAUGAUAGAAGAUUACAUCUCAUGAAUCACGACCAAUUUUUGAAAGGAUAUAUUUCUCUUUCCAGCUCAUUGGGCAAGUUGAAGAACCCACAUAGCACAUCAUGUUUGGUGGCCAUAAUAUCAAUCGCAUCAAAUAUUUCUUUCUCACUUAAGCCAACAAUCUUACGCAUUUUAUCAUACAACUUAACUUGUAAAUCAGAUAACUACUUAUCAGUAGUAGAAAGUACACUGAUCAACCCAUCUAAUUUGGGUACCAUGGCUUAAAUGGACUCUGUCAUUGCUCCUAUUUUUGAGCACAUAUUGUGAAAUGUUUUGUCCUUGGUUCUCCUUUCCUUUUUUGGGUAGCUGGAAUUACUGUGAAUAUAGAUAAUAUUAACAUUCAAAACCAUUAGAUGAGAAAACAAAGAGUUACGAAGCUAAAUCUACCGAGCCCAUAACAUAUCACACAAGUAAACAAGUAAUUUUCAUUUCUUUAUAAUGGAACCUCUACUAAGUGAGGUGGGAAAAUUUAUUAACUAAAAGAAAGUGAAAAUAGUGCAAGAGAGAAGAAAGAGCAAAUGCUAGCCAUAGCUAAACCAUGAGAAGACAUAUAGGCAAGAACUAGAGUUACAAAGCUAAAGCUAUUGAGGCUGGACAUAAACCGAGCCCAUCACAGGUCAUGUAUAAGCAAAUAAGUAAGUAAACUAAGAAAUUAUUACAUUUAAAAUGUAAUAUAAAUAUAAAAUUAUGAUAAUUAUUAGUUUUUUUUUAUUAUAUGAGACUAUUGCUCAAACUACAACUGAUAUUAUAGAAGACUAUAACUGAUAUUUACUAAUCAGACUAUUACUGGGAUCGACUUACAUCAAUGCCUACGGAGCUCUGCUCAAAUUUUAACCAUCACUAAUAUUCGAGGGAUGUCUAUCGACUUACAUCAAUGUCUACGGAGCUUUACCUAGAUUUUAACCCUCACUAAUAUUCGAAGAAUGUCUACUCCACUUACUCUUGGAUAAGAGAGAAGAUUACCUUGACUUAAUUAUACAAUUUAAUUAAUAAAGGAAAUACCCCCACAUUGCGCAGGGCAAGUGGCACGAUAAUUAUUAGUUAAAUAAACUAAAAACUUAUUACAUGGAGUUCCCACUUACCAAAUAUAUCCAGGUUUCUGUUCAAUCAUCUCUAAUUAGAAAAUGAAAAUAUUCCACAGUUUUUUAUUUUCUUUUGAAAAAGAAAAUCCUCGUUUUCUUGGUAUUCCUUCAAAUUAAAGUUAAAAUGAUAGAUGAGAGGCAGAUAAUGGAAGGCAAAAGAUGAAGAAAAAGGUUGGUCAUAAUGUGUUAAAACGACAAAUAUGCUUUUGAGAACAAAUCUACUCAAAUCCCUAACUACUCUUACUCCAACUGAUGUGUGCAAGCAAAUAACAAUGUGACCUCGAUCAUCUCAAUGACUCUGUAACAACCCUAUAAAUAUAUAUUUUUAUCUAUCCGGCUACUUUGUACAUGGGAUCAGAACCCUCAAUCAGUGGUAGUUGGCUCAAGAUUUUAAAAGAAGCGGCGAGUUCGGAAUCCUCUCACUUCCAUAUUUACUUGCUUGUUUAAGAAAGAAAAUAAGAAUCCCUGUUCACAAGUGUUAUUUCAUUUUCUUAAUUUUUUAUUUUUGGUACUUAUUUCAUUUUUCUCUAUUCAUUAGGUUUGGAUCCGCGAAAUCUGCACCUGAUCCUUUUUUGAAGGGUGGGGUUAUAUGCACUCUAAAAUUUACUUUGGAUACUCACAUUUUAAUAAUUAUUUAUAUUACUAAAUUAACCUUAUUGUAAUUUACUAUUAAGGACAAUUUUAAUAAAAUAUAGUAUAACAAAUUUUUAUCAAACAUCAUAUUUUAUUUACAAUAAACCACAUCAACAAUUAAGAAUUGAAUCAAUAUUCACGUGGAAACAUUGUCUAUACUUUUGAACUAAGCUUUUUUCAUUUUUUUCCGUUGAUAUAAUUACUAGGAAAACAUCAAGUACCAUGUUCAUGAUCAUCUUUAUAACUGAAACGAAAGGAAUUAAAAACAAAGGUGGAGGAGGAGCAACAAAUUGCACCACUCCAACAUAAGAAAACACAAGUAAAUCAAAGGAUUUUGUUUUAAAUUUGCUCUCCGAUUUGCAUGCUUUUAUGGGUUUGAAAAACAAUUAAAUUGCGUCAAUAAGAGAAGAACAAAUACAGGAGCGGAUGCAGUAUGUGACCAGUGGGGGUUGUAGCCCUGGCUGGCCAAAAGAAAAAACUCUAAGAAUAAAAGAAAAUUUUUUAAAAUUUCUAAUUAGUCCCAAAUAAAUCUAUUAAAAUUGACCUUAUACAUUUAUAAAUUCACAAAAUUUAAACUUUAACUUUUAGAAUUAUAAAAGCCUACAUUAUAAUUAAAAAUAAUGAUAGGUCAUCACCACAAAUGUUUUUCUAUUCUUGAAAAUGCGUUGAGAACAAUUAUAAAUAUAUUAAUAAAUAUUUUUAUAUAUUCAAAGUUUUAGUUUUAAAAUUUUACUAUUAUAUAAUAUAGGCUUUGAUAAAAUAUUUUUUUAGAUCUGAACAAAUACAUAUCAAACCAUAUUAUGAACAGAAAAUAAAAGUGAAUAAAAAUGUAUUAAAAAGUUAGAUAUUUUAUUUGUGAUGAUGAAUAUUUUAUUUGGUAUAAAGAAGAAACAAGGUAAUUAAAGAAAUAAGGACAAUAUAAAAAUUUGAAAGAGUGUUCCAAAUAAAAACUAAUAUUUUUAAAAUUAUUAGUUAAGCGCGCGGACUAAACGAAAUUUCAAAGUAGAUUUUUGCUUUCAAAUAGCCCUACUGUUUUUCGAAUGAUACGUGCAUUAUUAAAUUUUAAAAAAAGUCGGAUGCAGAUCAGCAUCUGGUAUUUGCCACGUAUUUGGAUCCAUUUGUUAAUUAUUAAAAAAAGGAAAAGACAAUAAUAGAGUUUUUUUAUAAAAAAAAAACUGAGACAAAAACAGAGUUAGAGGCGUGUACGUUUCAUAACCUUUUGUUUUUUAAGAAAAUCCUAAACGCAGCCUGCCGACACAAGACAUGAAAGCUGCCAGAGCAGAGAAGUUUAACAGCCGUCUGCCGCUGCCGUUCUAAUCAGCCAAGUCGCCACGGCUACUGCUAGCACAAUGGAAAUUAAUGUACAGAAGUCAACAAUAUUACGGCCUGCCCAAGAAACCCCGAAGCAACGCCUACCAAAUUCUGACUUGGACUUGGUUGCGCCGUCCAAUUACAACCCCCUGGUAUUCUUUUAUCGACGGCCAAAUUAUUCUUCCCCUAAUUUCUUUGAUGCUGGUUUGCUGAAGGAGGCUCUGAAAAAGAUUCUUGUGCCGUUUCACCCCGUGGCUGGAAGGUUGCCCAGUGAUGAAAGUGGUAGAACCAACAUACUAUGUAACGGAGAGGGGGUUUUGUUUGUGGAGGCGGAAACAAGUUGUAUUAUUGAUGAUUUUGGUGACUUCGCGGAAGGCUCCAAGCUUUUGCCGUUGCUUCCAACUUUUGAUGACACGAAAGAUAAUUCUUCUUAUCCACUCAUGAUGACACAGGUACCACGAAUAUUUAAUCCCCUGCUCAGUUGAUUCAUGAGACUUGGUUUUAUUAAGUAGUCCUGUGCUGUGUGUGUUGAGUAGGUAACUCGUUUCAAAUGCGGAGGCGUUUGUCUUGCGACUAGAUUUCAUCAUAUUUUAGCAGAUGGAGCUUCAACGUACCAUUUCGUCAACUCAUGGGCUGAGAUGACACGUGGUGUUCCUAUUAGCAUUCCACCUUUCUUUGAUCGAACCGUACUAGAUUUUGGGGUUCCAAAUUCUCCUAGAUUCCAUCACACUGAAUACGACCCACCUCCUUUAAUGAAUACUCCUACUCAAAAUUCCGAAUCCAUUUGUACUGCGAUCCUGAAUCUAUCACUUGAGCAAAUCAACAUUCUCAAGGAAAAAUCUAAAGAAAAUCGUGGAUCUACAUUUGAGUACACUAGACUUG
rnacentral:lncRNA from 1 species